rnacentral:lncRNA from 1 species
CUAUGCUGUGUCAACUAUUUAAUCACAGUCCAAAUUUGGAGCUGAAUCCAGCUUGAAAGUUGUGUCCAUACUUGCCCCAACCGUUCAGGGUUCAACCUCUGCGGUCGUAUAAAGCUGCGCCCUGCGGAGCCUCUGGUUGUUUGUUGUAAAUGCUAAAGUAAUUGUAAAAGAUAAAUAUAUUGAAGUCAUUGUUUCGAUUAUGUGCAAAACUUAAAACAAGUAAAAAAUCACUGGGACAUUUAAAUGUACUUACAAAAGCAAAAAUAUUCUAACAAUAUGCACAUGCAACCCGUGAAACAGUUUUUUUACGAUUGUUACUGAUAUGAGUGUCAUUGUUCCAAGGGAAGAUGUAUGCUUUUAUUAAAGAUUAAAAUUAUAAAAAAAAUGUUGACUUCUGCACCCCUAUUUUAGACAUUUUUUCCUAUGUCCGUUUGUUUUAUUCACACAUUGCUGUCAAUAUUAUUGAAAUUAAUGCGACUGUCAAGUGAGAGGAUUAGCCAACUAUAAAACCAGGCUUAAUCCACCAUUUUCUACAUAAGGAAAUGCCUGUACUACGUCAGGAAUAGGAUAUGUUUUCCAUUCGUUUGAAGUGCAAGAG